UUUGGGGGGUUUUGGGAAAAUUUGGGCGAAAUUUGGGCGAUUUUUGGCCAUUUUUUGGUGAUUUUAUAGUGAUUUUUGGGGGGUUUUUAGGGGCAUUAAAGGGUUAAAAAUGAGGGUUUGAGGUGCUCAGGUGAGUCUCAGGUGAGUCUCAGGUGAGCACACCUGGACACAGGUGAAAAAAUUUAGGGGGAAUUUUCAGGGAUUUUGGGCAAUUUUGGGCAAAUUUUGGCCAUUUUUGGGUGAUUUUAGAGGGAUUUUAGAGGGAUUUUUGGGGGUUUUUGGGGAGAUUUACGGUUAAAAAUGAGGAUUUGAGGUGCUCAGGUGAGUCUCAGGUGAGUCUCAGGUGAGCACACCUGGACACAGGUGAAAAAUUUUUGGGGUAAAUUUGGGCAAAUUUUGGCAAUUUUGGGUGAAUUUUCGGCAAUUUUGAGCGAUUUUAGGGCGGUUUUAUGGGGAUUUUCGGGGUUUUUUGGGAGAUUUAGGGUUAAAAAUGAGGAUUUGAGGUGCUCAGGUGAGUCUCAGCUGAGUCUCACCUGGGCAGGUGUGGCCAGGUAAA